UGGGGAAUAUUGCACAAUGGGCGAAAGCCUGAUGCAGCGACGCCGCGUGCGGGAUGAAGGCCUUCGGGUUGUAAACCGCUUUUGAUUGGGAGCAAGCGAGAGUGAGUGUACCUUUCGAAUAAGCACCGGCUAACUACGUGCCAGCAGCCGCGGUAAUACGUAGGGUGCAAGCGUUAUCCGGAAUUAUUGGGCGUAAAGAGCUCGUAGGCGGUUUGUCGCGUCUGGUGUGAAAGUCCAUCGCUUAACGGUGGAUCUGCGCCGGGUACGGGCAGGCUAGAGUGCGACAGGGGAGACUGGAAUUCCCGGUGUAACGGUGGAAUGUGUAGAUAUCGGGAAGAACACCAAUGGCGAAGGCAGGUCUCUGGGUCGUCACUGACGCUGAGGAGCGAAAGCGUGGGGAGCGAA
rnacentral:rRNA from 1 species